rnacentral:lncRNA from 1 species
UGGGGCACUGUGUGUACCAAGGCAGUCUGGUUUGGAAGCUCCCAUAUCUGAUGCCUGGCUCAGAAUUUCAGUUAAGACAGAAAACUGAAGUUUGAAACAUGGCCUGAUAAAAUUCACUCAGUGUCUAGAAGUCUGCCCGAAGUGAAGGCUACUCCAGGCCCAUCCCACAACAUUCGGGGAUUACUACCAUUCAAGGUAUCAUCAAGUCCCCUCCUGACUCAAGCAAGUAAGGCUACAGAGGGCAGCUGUGCUCUGCCGGAAGGUCAGCUGUGGAGCAGGAAAAGACCCAGAAACUCCGCUCUCCUCUUGCUGGGCACGCUGGCCUGA